ACACAAGCCGUCCUUCCCUCUCCAAACCUGCUAGUUGCUACCUCCCUGCUCAGAUCUGGCCGCUAGUCCUCCCUCCUGCUCUCUCGCCGGCGGGUUCAGCUGCAUACUCGCUCCCGUGGAGCCGGAGGGGAUAAACUAGGUGCCGUAGAGCAGGAUCUGAAGGACGCUGGAAGGGGGCGUCACUGGCAAGCACAACCCAAACCAGAGCAAGCGGAGCAAAGAAUCUAGUCUGUGCUUGGGAGGUGCUGUUGGAACUCUACUGCCUUUACGGCCACUAGUCUACACAGCUUCGGUGGUGACUGCUGCCCAUGGAAGCUUGCAAGCUGCACUGCCGGUGAUGGCAGAGUGAUUUCGGAACAGAGGAUGCAGUAGCUAGAGACAUCAUGUUUUUUUUUGACAAUUCUUGUGUAUUCUUUGAAUAAAGAUGUAGAUGAAGCACUUGUAAUGUACAAUUUCAGCUCAAUAAAAUUAAUUUGGCUCCUUAUCA